GCGCGAAAACUUUACAAUGCGGGAAACCGUGAUAAGGGAACCCCGAGUGCCCGUAGAAUCGGGCUGUUGAUCUGUGUAAAAAGCAGGUAAAGAAAGGGCCGGGCAAGACCGGUGC
rnacentral:rRNA from 2 species